rnacentral:rRNA from 1 species
AGAGUUUGAUCCUGGCUCAGAACGAACGCUGGCGGAGUGCUUAAUACAUGCAAGUCGUGCGAGAAAGUCACCUUCGGGUGGCUAGUAGAGCGGCGAACGGGUGAGUAUCACGUAAGCAACCUGCCUCUAAAUCUGGGAUAACCUUGCUAACGCGGGGCUAAUACUGGAUGUGGUUCCAAUUUCACAUGAAGUUGGAAUUAAAGGUGACCUCUACAUGUAAGUUACUGUUUAGAGAUGGACUUGCGGCCCAUUAGCUUGUUGGUAGGGUAACGGCCUACCAAGGCAACGAUGGGUAGCCGACCUGAGAGGGUGAUCGGCCACAUUGGGACUGAGAUACGGCCCAGACUCCUACGGGAGGCAGCAGUAGGGAAUUUUGCGCAAUGGACGAAAGUCUGACGCAGCAACUCCGCGUGAGGGAUGAAGGUCUUCGGAUUGUAAACCUCUGUUGAGUGGGAAGAAAAGUUUUAGUGAUAAUAACACUAAGAUCUGACGGUACCAUUCGAGGAAGCUCCGGCUAACUACGUGCCAGCAGCCGCGGUAAUACGUAGGGAGCUAGCGUUGUUCGGAAUUACUGGGCGUAAAGAGAACGUAGGCGGGGGAGUAAGUUAGAAGUGAAAUGCACCGGCUUAACUGGUGACCUGCUUUUAAUACUGCUUCUCUUGAGUAUGGGAGAGGAAGAUGGAAUUCCAGGUGUAGCGGUGGAAUGCGUAGAUAUCUGGAAGAACACCAGUAGCGAAGGCGGUCUUCUGGCCCAAUACUGACGCUGAGGUUCGAAAGCUAGGGGAGCGAACAGGAUUAGAUACCCUGGUAGUCCUAGCUGUAAACGAUGGACACUAGAUGUCGGGGGUGUUGUGCCUUCGGCGUCGGAGCUAACGCAAUAAGUGUCCCGCCUGGGGAGUACGCUCGCAAGUGUGAAACUCAAAGGAAUUGACGGGGGCCCGCACAAGCGGUGGAGCAUGUGCUUCAAUUCGAUGCAACGCGAAGAACCUUACCUGGUCUUGACAUGGGAGUGAAAGCCACCAGAGAGGGAGGCCUUUCCUUCGGGAACACUCCACACAGGUGCUGCAUGGUUGUCGUCAGCUCGUGUCGUGAGAUGUUGGGUUAAGUCCCGCAACGAGCGCAACCCCUGUCCUUAGUUGCCAUCAGGUCAAGCUGGGAACUCUAGGGAGACUGCCUGGAUUAACCAGGAGGAAGGUGGGGAUGACGUCAAAUCCUCAUGGCCCUUACGACCAGGGCUAGACACGUGCUACAAUGGGUGCUACAACGGGAUGCCAGACCGUGAGGUCUAGCUAAUCCCUGAAAAGCAUUCUCAGUUCGGAUUGGAGUCUGCAAUUCGACUCCAUGAAGUUAGAAUCGCUAGCAAUCGCGGAUCAGCAUGCCGCGGUGAAUACGUUCCCGGGCCUUGUACACACCGCCCGUCAAGCCAUGAAAGAUGGUAGUACCCGAAGUCGUUUUCCUAACCCCGCUUUAGCGGGGAUGGAUGCGCCGAAGGUAAGACCAUUGAUUGGGGCUAAGUCGUAACAAGGUAACC